GAGAAGAGUCAGUGGUCCUGAGGUACAGUACUUAAGAUAACCCUGUGAAGGCUGAGAUUGAUAUUUGAAAUUCACAACUGAUCUUGGAGCCUGGUACAGCAGUCAUGGAUUUGUUCAUGUGUGGAUGUGAUGGAACUGAAGUCGCUAGGUUCAUGCUACCUGGAACAUGAGACUGACAAAUAGAGGAGCACUGAGUCAAAUGAAUCUCGGAGAAAUGGAGCUGGAAGAAAACUGGAGAAUGAAAGAAAAGAUAUACGCAAAGUGGAUUCUAAUCAUAGAGUUUCAUUCUUGUUGCCCAGGCUGGAGUGCAAUGGUGUGAUCUUGGCUCACCGCAACCUUGACCUCCUAGGUUCAAGUGAUUCUCCUGUCUCAGUCUCCUGAGUAGCUAGUAUUACAGGCAUGCACCACUAUGCCCGGCUAAUUUUGUAUUUUUAGUUGAGAUGGGGUUUCUCCAUGUUGGUCAGGCUGGUCUCGAACUCCCGACCUCAGGUGAUCCACCUGCUUCAGCCUCCCAAAGUGCUGGGAUUACAGGUGUGAGCAGCCGUGCCCUGCUGAAACUUAUUUGUUUGAGCAAUAAAAGCCACAUAUUUCCUCUUUUGA
rnacentral:lncRNA from 1 species